AGCAACGCAUGAACCGUGGCCGAAGCCUGGGCGUAACGACCAGGUGAAAGUCAUUUUGGAGGCAACUGGGGAUGUUCAGAACUGGAUUCUGCUGGGGAGGAAAAUCCUCUCCUUCUUCCCUUCGAGGUUCGUUGGCUGGUCCAAUAAUUAAGCUGACAUAAGACAGAUCAACAGGAGAAGAGCCAACUUCAGACACAAACACACGAGACUCCAAGGCAGGCAGGCAGGGGGGCAUCUGCACCGUCCCGAGCUCCGGGGCGGGGGCAGGAGCCCGGCUUCAGAGCGGAGGAAGCCGGUCCACAGGAGGGUGAGAAGAGCAGCUGGUCAGGAACAGGUGUUCGCCAGGCCGCGCGGCAGGUAUCUGAGACAUUUCCAAAGAGCAGACACGACUGGUGGAGUGGCCUGAUCAGGGGCUCGUCCUUGCGGUGAUGGUCCUGAGCCCAGCCGGCGCAGCACCCACCCCCCCGCCCGUGACUAACCCUAAACCAGGCUCCGCGAGCAGCAGAGGCGGCCUUCCCGAAGCUGUCGGAGAAAGUGCAGCGGGUGCACAUCCCACCAGGGCCGAGGCCGCCUGUCACUGGCUCUGCAUUUCUUGGCACAUGUGGGAAAUACUACAUGCUCGGUAAGUGUUGGUUAGAUAAAGAAACGGAUACGUGGCUGGAAGGGAAGGGAUCCCCACUCGCUGUGCCCCGGGCUGUGGGAGCCUCUACCAGCCCUGUCGCCCCACAAGCUCUGAGCCAGCCAGCAGCCAGUUCCCCUCCAGAAAAACCCUCGUGGCUUGAGUCUCCUCUCAGACACUCCCACUGUAUUAGUUUACACUCUGAACGCUUCCAGGAUGGGGGUCUCACUGCCCUGCAGGAGCCCGUCCCACUUGGGAAGAUCUGAGUUUCAGGCACACCAUCUCCUGCCCGAGUCCUGCCCCCUCUGCCCCGGGGCCGGCCAGGGUCCCGCGGGCUGUCCACGGUGGCAGCUCCGGAGUGAGGGCUGAAGUCCAGUGAGAGGGACAAAGGGUGGGGCCGAGCCUAGGACAAAGCCUUGUGAUGGCCUGCGGUCAGCCAGAAAGAGCCCACAUAGGAUUUCCCCCUCCUAUUUCUUUCUUGUGGUAAAAUACACAAAACAUAAAAUUCACUGUGUUAACCAUUUCUAAGUGUCCUGUUUACUGGUGUUAAACACACUCACCACCAUCAUCUCCACAAAGCAUCUUGUAAGACUGAAACUCCGUCCCCAUGAAACCCCAGCUCCUCUCCCCUCCCCCAGUCUCUGGCACCCGCUGUCCUACUGUCUACAAACUUGUCCACCUUAGGGACCUCAUGUAAGUGGAAUCACAGUGCUUGUCCCCUCGUGACUGGCUCGUUUCCCUGGGCACAUGUCCUCAAGCUCCAUCCGUGUUGCAGGAGGGGUCAGAAUUUCCUUCCUCUUUAAGGCUGACUGAUGUUCCAUUGUAGGGAGGGACCACGUUUGUCACCCAUCACCCGUCGAGGGACACCUGUUGGCUUCCACCUCUGGGCCAGUGUGAAUGGCGCUGCAGGAACACGGGGCACAGGCGUCUCCUUGAGACCUGCUUUCUGUUCUUUAGCGAGAGCACCCAGAAGCUAGAAUUGCUGGGUCAGGCGGAAGUUCUGGUUUUAAUCUUGUGAGGAACGGGAAUACCAUUUCCGUGCUGGCUGCCCCAUUUUGCAGUCCCCCAGCACUUGCUACUUCCUGCUUUUGCGACAGCCACCGUCCCAGUGGGUGUAAGGGGUGCGCAGGAAUCAGGGCUUUGGUCCCAGGGCUGGGCUCGUCUGCCUCCGACUGGUCUUUCUGCUUUCUUAACUGUGCUCUUUGAAGAACAAACGUUCUUCCUUUUAGUGAGCCUGGUUGAUUAAUUUUUUUCUUUUAUGUCGAAUGCUCUGCAUGUGUGGACAAUCUCUCCCUGUGAGAGUCUCAGAGACGGUCCCCUGUUUUCUCCUAAAAGUUUCAUGGAUUUAGACUUACAUUUUGGUGUCUUUGAGCUAAUUUCUGUGUGCGGCGUGAGGCAGCUUUUGGUUGCUUUAAGUGAUUAUCCAGGUGUUCCGAUACUUCGUGGAAGUCUCUCGUCUGCUUGCCGAUUUCCUGGGGCACCUCUGCAGAACAUAAACACAAGUCACGGCACUCGCAAAUUCACAGAAUCCAAGUGUGCUGAAAGCGGGACUGCUCUGUCCUGGCCCUGGGUAGCUGCUGACUCUAGAUAAAUUCAUUUGUGAACUGCAGGCACAGAGGUACCUCAUUUGUACAUAAGGCGUGACCUACCUGUGAAGUGCGCCCUUCAGGGCUGGAGGAAGGGGAUUGGAUUCCCGCAGUGGAUCGGGGAGCCACGUGCAGUAAUCCAGCAGCUUCCAAAUACUGACCGUCCCACAGUUCUGAGCAUGGUGGGGACGAGCCUGGCCGCCCUGCGGCUCCCACUGCGUCUCCCGCUGCGUCUCCCCUCAGGGCCACCUCUUCAGGCUUUGUUGAAGGCCCUCAAGGCUCCGCUCUGGAGCUCUGGGAUCCGGAACUGACGGAGGGGCAUUUGCGGAGCACCGGCUGAGGGUGUCCCCGCAGCUGCGAACGCUGUGCGGGUCAAGCAAAAGGAACUCAGUAACAAACCAUUUCUGGAUAUUUUCAUCACUUAAAAAAAACUGCCGCAUGGUCUGUGAGGUGACUACCGUGGUGUUGGUCAGGCAGGCGGGGAGCAAAGAAGAGCUGUGGUGCCAACAAGAACCUACGGGGAUGCGUCGGCAGUGAGGGGCCUUUGCCUCUCGGUGUGCACAGCCGCUCCACACCGAUGCCGAGUGAGUGGAUGAUGCCUCAGGGCUGGACCAGAGCCGCUGAGAGCGGCCUGGGCCACGUUCAAGGUCAGCGGACAGAACACACUCUCACCUGAUCAGGAGGUGUGAAACCCCGACAGCGGGCCUUCUGGGGGUGUGACACGUGCAGACCCGUCACACGGUGCUCACCAGGGGCUCCUCCUGUCGGGCGUCUGUUCGUGCUCUUGGUGGAUCCACUUUCCUUGGGCAAGAGUCAAACAACCAGGUGGACAAAUUCCUCUUCUCAUCCUCUGCUUCCCGUGUCCCGGCCCCAACCCUUUUGAAAAAUAUCAAAGACAAGGAGAAGUUAAAGCUAUAGGAUGGGAGGGAGGGCAGAGCUCAGGGGCAGAGCGCAUGCCUGACAAGCACGAGGCCCUGGGUUCAAUCCCCGGUACCUCCAUUGAAAAGAAAAAGAAUAAAUAAAUAUUUAUACUUUUCACUUAGAUCCAACAAUUCUUAACAUUUUGCCACAGUCCUUUUGUCUCUCUCCACACGCACACACACACGUAUUGUGUCUGCAGCUGGCUUCAGAUGAUUUCGCACACUUGCACACGUGCAGCUGGGUGCGGAGUGUGUCAUUCGCAGUCAGCUGCAAACGUCACUUCACUCGGCCUCCAGUGGCUGGUGCCUGACAGCAGGGAUGGUCUCCUGCUCUCAUUUCCUGCCCAGAAUCAUAGCCACGGCCACCCAGUGUUGUCGUAAGGUAUCUGGGAGACUACUUAAGAUGCUGGGUUCUUUUUAA